GAUGAACGCUGGCGGCGUGCCUAACACAUGCAAGUCGAGCGUGAACCCUUAGAAUGAAACUUCGGUCGAAUGAAGAGGGGGAAAGCGGCGGACGGGUGAGUAACGCGUAGGCAACCUGCCCCGUACAGAGGGAUAGCCUCGGGAAACCGGGAUUAAAAACCUCAUAAUACCAUGGUAUCACAUGAUGCAAUGGUCAAAGAUUUAUCGGUAUGGGAUGGGCCUGCGUCUGAUUAGCUGGUUGGUGGGGUAACGGCCUACCAAGGCAACGAUCAGUAGCCGACCUGAGAGGGUAAUCGGCCACAUUGGAACUGAGACACGGUCCAAACUCCUACGGGAGGCAGCAGUGGGGAAUAUUGCACAAUGGGCGAAAGCCUGAUGCAGCAACGCCGCGUGAGCGAAGAAGGCCUUUGGGUCGUAAAGCUCUGUCGGGAAGGAAGAUAAUGACGGUACUUCCCGAGGAAGCCCCGGCUAACUACGUG
rnacentral:rRNA from 1 species